rnacentral:rRNA from 1 species
AGCAAUUAUACGGCGAAACUGCGAAUGGCUCAUUAUAUAAGUUAUCGUUUAUUUGAUAGUACCUUACUACUUGGAUAACCGUGGUAAUUCUAGAGCUAAUACAUGCUAAAAAUCCCGACUUCGGAAGGGAUGUAUUUAUUAGAUUAAAAGCCAAUGCCCUCCGGGGCUCACUGGUGAUUCAUGAUAACUUCUCGAAUCGCAUGGCCUUGCGCCGGCGAUGGUUCAUUCAAAUUUCUUCCCUAUCAACUUUCGAUGUUUGGGUAGUGGCCAAACAUGGUGGCAACGGGUAACGGAGGGUUAGGGCUCGACCCCGGAGAAGGAGCCUGAGAAACGGCUACUACAUCCAAGGAAGGCAGCAGGCGCGCAAAUUACCCAAUCCCGACUCGGGGAGGUAGUGACAAUACAUACUGAUACAGGGCUCUUUUGGGUCUUGUAAUCGGAAUGAGUACAAUUUAAAUCCCUUAACGAGGAACAAUUGGAGGGCAAGUCUGGUGCCAGCAGCCGCGGUAAUUCCAGCUCCAAUAGCGUAUAUUAAAGUUGUUGUGGUUAAAAAGCUCGUAGUUGAACCUUGGCUCUGGCUGGCCGGUCCGCCUCACCGCGUGCACUGGUCCGGCCGGGGCUUUCCCUCUGUGGAACCCCAUGCCCUUCACUGGGUGUGGCGGGGAAACAGGACUUUUACUUUGAAAAAAUUAGAGUGCUCCAGGCAGGCCUUUGCUCGAAUACAUUAGCAUGGAAUAAUGAAAUAGGACGCGCGGUUCUAUUUUGUUGGUUUCUAGGACCGCCGUAAUGAUUAAUAGGGACAGUCGGGGGCAUCAGUAUUCAAUUGUCAGAGGUGAAAUUCUUGGAUUUAUUGAAGACUAACUACUGCGAAAGCAUUUGCCAAGGAUGUUUUCAUUAAUCAGGAACGAAAGUUAGGGGAUCGAAGACGAUCAGAUACCGUCGUAGUCUUAACCAUAAACUAUGCCGACUAGGGAUCGGGCGGUGUUAUUUUUUGACCCGCUCGGCACCUUACGAGAAAUCAAAGUGCUUGGCUCGCAG